CAGCUAUAUCACAUUGAAACAUUGGUUCUCCUACAAUCACCAAAGUUAAACAAUGUUGAGCCUGGUCAGUACCUAGAUGGGUGACCACUUGGGCAUACCAGGUGUU